GCCAUUGCAGAUAAACUGGAAAGGGUAGGUUCUCCACGGACUGAAAUGCGAUGAGGUUGACUACAUGGUCAGCAGGCAGAUCUCAUGGUCCAUUUUAGAGAGAGACAAUGCAUUCUAGCAUAUCCAGGAUGAGGCCCUGGCAGUUGUUUUGGUGCAGUGAUUAAUGUUCCCUAAUGUUCACGCCCAGCAACUUUUACACACGCAACUUUGAUACAAUGAUUCCACUUAUCGGAUAUGUUAAAAGAUUGGCAUAUAACAUGUAGGAUGAGUUAACUGAGAACUUUUUCAACGUUUUUAACCAUGGACAGGUAUGAUCUCAUUUAAAGAAAGACAACAACCCUGCCUGCUCUGUGAAACCUUGUUGGUGAGGAAUGAGGAAAGGGAAAGGUGAGAAAGGAGAUGAAAACCAACUAGAGAUCUAUUGCAGCCAUCCCACUGAGUCAUAAUGGAAUGGGCAAGGGCCACCACAGCUCAAGUCCACACGGUGGUUUCACACCCACGAGCCCCACAUCAGAACAAAAUCCAGGACAGCAAGAGGAUGGACUUCUUUUUUCGGUGGGGUUUCAGGGAAGAGGAUGUGGGAAGGAGAACCUGGAGGCACAGAGACCAGUUUUAGUGAAGAGACCCAGGGAAGUUACAGAUGUGGGCGUUUAUUCUUACAGCGGUAUCCACAUGUCCUCCACUAACCUCGAGAGUUCCUGCAGCGCAUGCCAAAGACGGUGUGUCAGAAGUCUCAGCGAGGCUAGGGAGCAUGUUAUCGCAUCGGCCUGAAACAUGAAUGGCUACUAGCCGACUCGCUGUCCUAAUCCAGGUAACUCACUGCUGGGGUGAGGAGGUGUUUUCAAGUGUAUUAAGAAACCUCAUUC
rnacentral:lncRNA from 9 species